CAUUUAUUCCAUGUGUAAACUUAAAUCAUGUUGGUAUGAGUUAUUUUUGUUGGGACCCUGGUUGAGGUGUUUUUAGACAAUAACAUCAUGACAUUACCAAUCCAAUGUCUACUGUUUUGCGCCAGCUAGUGUUUUUAGUGUCACUCAAGCCCUGAGUAUGUACCCUGCUGUUAAGAACGUCAGCAGUUAAAGUUGAUUCAAGAUUUCUUUGUUUUAAGGCAGUGUACUGGGCAAAAAAAAAAAAACAAGCAAUAAAAAAGGGGAAUGGGGCGUGCUAGUGUUUGAAUAUGCUCUCUUGUUGCUUUUAAUCUGUGCCUCUGUGCAUUAAUAUUUGAAUGCAUGCAUUGCCAGCAUGAAAUUGAUCUUAAAAUAACUGCAGUUUUCCAGAAAACACUCACAAACCAAUAAAUUGUAACAAAACAUUCCAUUUGUUUAAUGGACGUAUGUGAAUAUACAGUAUAGAAAAAUAGGCUAAUCAAAAAACGGUUAAGUCCUUAACUUCAAGUGUGGUAUAUAAAUGGACACUGUCAAUGUUCAUAACUUGGGUAUCUGGUCAAAAUAAUGCUUAGGAAACAUUUUAUUAAAAUUGAGCUAAAUUGUCUCAAGUUCUUUUAUUCAUAUAAUAAAGGUUGAAAGAAUGGGGGACAUAAACAUUUUCUGUUUCUAUGUUUGUGAAAUUGUUUGACACAACCUUGACAGUAUCCUUUAAUGGCAUAUGGAGUUAUUGUACUGUUAACAAACUUUCUAUGUUCCUGGAACUAGUUUAAUAGUAAAAAAAUCGUUUUCAGUAAGUUGAUGUUUGCAACCUAUAAGCAGGUGAAAUCUGUAUGCGACCUGUUUAUAAGUUGUAUUAGUUUAGUCCUUGUAAACAGUGGAAAAGUAAGCCAUGAGGAGAGCGAUUUAACCAGCUUUAAAAGGACCUAAGAUGUGCUUUCUAAGCACUUUGGAUCAAAGGAGACUCACUCAGACAGGACUUCAGCAGCCUUUUGAGUAUGGACAAGUCAGCAUAAAUAAAGAAUGACAAGGCAGCAGCAAGAGCUUCAACAACAGAGAAGUGAAGGCAUAAGAUACUUUGGUGAUAGUAAGCAACUUUACAAAAGCUAGUUAAAUCUGCUUAUUGCAACUGAAAAUAUCGAAGAAAGUCUAGCAGAAAGGAGCUUCGCCUUUUGGAACUUCAAUGAGAUAGUUGCCACAGUCACUAGGUCUAGCAUUUAGACCUGCAAGGAAGGGCAAUAAGCAUUAGGUAAGGAUUGAAUUUGAAUUUUUUCACUAAUUAACGAGUGAUUUUUUUGUAAAGCAAGGUAAGAGUAAUCUUUUUGAUUUGCAGGUUGAAUGAGAACCUACUUGCCCAAAUGAGGAAUGUCUUUCCUACCAUCUUAAAUACGAAGGUUUCUCGCUGGAUCAUCUGGAAUAAAUGGAUGGAUUUUAAAUUUAAAUGUAGUUACACUCAUUUCUGGGAAAAACAGCAACUCUCAAGUGAAUACCAGUAAACUCAAGGAAGCAAAUACAAAAGGGGGCAAUGGGUAAGAUUUGUCAAGCCAACCUGGAUUACUGCUAACACUCACCAAAAUGCCUGGUAAUGACAAGAAAUGAAAGCAUGGUUUUACAAGUUCAUACAACACAAAAAGUUCUAAUGGCUCAUGGGAUUCCAGUAGUGAAUAAGCAUGCUAUUGUGCAGAGAUCAUGUACGGAUUUUUAGCCUACUCAAAUUUCAAACUACAAUGGUUUUUUUUCUGAUUGAGAUCAGAAGAGGUGGUCUGUGAUGGACUAAAAUGUCUCAUUUGUAGUAUAAUGAAAUGUUUACAGAAAGAAAAUUUUCAUUAAAAUAUUUUUAGAAA